rnacentral:rRNA from 1 species
UACGUAGGGGCCUAGCGUUGUCCGGAUUUAUUGGGCGUAAAGAGCUCGUAGGCGGUUCGGUAAGUCAGGUGUGAAAUCUCCACGCUCAACGUGGAGGCGCUACCUGAAACUGCCGUGACUAGAGUCCGGUAGGGGAGUGUGGAAUUCCCGGUGUGAGCGGUGAAAUGCGCAGAUAUCGGGAGGAACACCAGUGGCGAAGGCGGCACUCUGGGCCGGAACUGACGCUGAGGAGCGAAAGCGUGGGGAGCGAACAGG